rnacentral:rRNA from 1 species
CCUACGGGGUGCAGCAGUGGGGGAUAUUGGACAAUGGGGGGAACCCUGAUCCAGCGACGCCGCGUGAGUGAAGAAGUAUCUCGGUAUGUAAAGCUCUAUCAGCAGGGAAGAAGAAAUGACGGUACCUGCGUCAGAAGCCCCGGCGAACUACGUGCCAGCAGCCGCGGUCAUACGUAGGGGGCAAGCGUUAUCCGGAUUUACUGGGUGUAAAGGGAGCGUAGACGGCAGCGCAAGUCUGGAGUGAAAUCCCAUGGCUUAACCAUGGAACUGCUUUGGAAACUGUGCAGCGAGAGUGCAGGAGAGGUAAGCGGAAUUCCUAGUGUAGCGGUGAAAUGCGUAGAUAUUAGGAGGAACACCAGUGGCGAAGGCGGCUUACUGGACUGUAACUGACGUUGAGGCUCGAAAGCGUGGGGAGCAAACAGGAUUAGAUACCCUUGUAGUC